AUUGAACGCUGGCGGCAGGCUUAACACAUGCAAGUCGAGCGGAGAUGAGGUGCUUGCACCUUAUCUUAGCGGCGGACGGGUGAGUAAUGCUUAGGAAUCUGCCUAUUAGUGGGGGACAACAUUCCGAAAGGAAUGCUAAUACCGCAUACGUCCUACGGGAGAAAGCAGGGGAUCUUCGGACCUUGCGCUAAUAGAUGAGCCUAAGUCGGAUUAGCUAGUUGGUGGGGUAAAGGCCUACCAAGGCGACGAUCUGUAGCGGGUCUGAGAGGAUGAUCCGCCACACUGGGACUGAGACACGGCCCAGACUCCUACGGGAGACAGCAGUGGGGAAUAUUGGACAAUGGGGGGAACCCUGAUCCAGCCAUGCCGCGUGUGUGAAGAAGGCCUUAUGGUUGUAAAGCACUUUAAGCGAGGAGGAGGCUACUGAGACUAAUACUCUUGGAUAGUGGACGUUACACGCAGAAUAAGCACCGGCUAACUCUGUGCCAGCAGCCGCGGUAACAC
rnacentral:rRNA from 1 species